CGAACAUGUUCCCAGCUUUACUGUUCAACCAACUUCCACGGCGUCGUCAUCAACUCUAAUUAACUUUCGAGUUUUCUUCGUCCAACACAAAUUCCUGUGGAAAGUAAUAUUUCAGAUACCAAGUUGAGACAUAAGACAGAAAAAUGGCAUCUAUUGUCAACCGCCGCACACCCGUUGUCCUGGUCGUGGCCAUCCUAUCCAUGUAUUGUCUCCUCAGCCAUGCGCAACCUGACGUGCGGUGCAAAGGUGUCUUUACGGGCAACCCGCUUCCCAACACGCAAUGUAAGGAUGUCUGCGAUUUUCCAGUCACUUCAAGUGUUUUGCUCAGUUCGUUGGUUGUCAGAUGUCCCGACGCUCAGAAGUGUUGCACCACCAUGGAAACCAUCCCAGGACCACUUCCAUCCGCACCGGUGUAAAUCGUUUGGUCACUGUCCAACGGACAAAUUAAAAUUUACUUUGAACAAUAUGCCAGUCAACUGACUAAUUACAUACAUACAUCAAAAUGCUUCUUAAUACUUGUGCAUUUGUAGGUUUUUCUCAUUAUGGGCUUCAGUAAUCUCAAGUAGAUACGACGAACAUUAAGAAUAAAUAUGUUUCCAAAUCUA